rnacentral:rRNA from 1 species
UAUACAACUUUCAGCAACGGAUCUCUUGGCUCUCGCAUCGAUGAAGAACGCAGCGAAAUGCGAUAAGUAAUGUGAAUUGCARAAUUCAGUGAAUCAUCGAAUCUUUGAACGCACCUUGCGCUCCUUGGUAUUCCGAGGAGCAUGCCUGUUUGAGUGUCAUUAAAUUUUCAACUCCUCCAGCUUUUGUUAAGUUGGCUUUGGAGCUUGGAUGUGG